UUUUAUGUUGUGCCGAGUCUUCUCAUCCACCCUUAUAGGUUUGGCCCAGAAAUGGCACUCCUAUGAAGACCUCUGAGCCUACGAUUGAAGAGUGGAAGUUGUGGUGGCUAGUGCUUAGCGGGAGUUCUGCAAUAGGAAUUUUUCUGUAAAACCAGAUAGGAAUAAAACUUUAGUAUGCGGUAAAACUCGCCUUUAAUGCCACGAACAAUGCAGUCGAGUACGAGACCUUGAUCAUG
rnacentral:lncRNA from 1 species